rnacentral:lncRNA from 12 species
CGCAGCCGCACUUUUCAGAGCAAAUUUCCUUGCUGGUGACUUUAUUUUGUGACCAUUUUUACUGCCAACUAAUUGAAGCCACUGCUGGCCAAUUGCUUCAUUUAUCAUCAAGUUUACAGGCCACACACUGCAAUUCUAAUUAGUGGCCAGACAUUGUGCUUCAGCCUCCCUUUGAAAUACUGCUGGCAUUUACAUGUAAUUCCAGUUCAUUAUGUUUCAAAGACACUGAGAGAGUGGGAAUGAGAUUAUUUCUCAAAACCAGUACCGAGAUUAGGCAGGCCCAGCCUGCACUCUUCCAUAGCUAUUUUAAGUUUAUUGGGAAAGGGGGUGGAGGAUAAUUAGCAGUUUCCCCUCCUCCCCCCAAUUUCUGACACUACCAAGCUCAAACCCAAAACCCACAUAAUCAAUCUUGUAUAAACGCCAGUAGUGAGCUCUGCUCCAUGUGCAGUUCUCACCCAGCCUGAUUUUCACAGGGAAGUGGUGAAUUUUGCACUUGAGGUGAGAAAUACUGCCCUAAGGAUUUAAAUCUGACAAGUGCCAAGGUCUUGUGAAGGUUCCUCUGUUUGGCCUGGAAAGAAGGGAAGGCAGACCUCAGCUUUCUCCAUGCAUUGGUUGAACAAUAAAUCACCAGAAGCCUGCAGACAUUUGGCAGAGCUGCAAAGAAUUGUUAUUUUAACUGAAAUCUGAUAGAUUUUCUACUUCUAAGGCAUUUUCAGACAAAUACCUCCAAUUUGGAGCCAGCUUCACCCAGCUUGCAUUGGUUUCUCAACUAGCUUCACUGGGGCUACCCUGGACUGAGGUCCCCUACAUCCUGACGGCUCAUUUCUCCCUAAAUAAACUCCAAGCACAGAAGCAAAAUGCAUUUGUUGCCUGGGAAACACCCAAUUCAGUAUAUGAGGUGGCCAUCCUUAGAGAGCCAUAGACCUCCAAGGAAGUUUUUAUAUCAAUGACUGUAACCAACCAGAAGUACCAGGGCAUCAUCACAGGUAACAAAAGAAAAGAGGCACCGAACACCUGCCUUUGUCUUGGCUGUGUGCAAUAUGGAAAGGAAAACAUUC